AAAGGGUGUGAACUUUGUCUUC
rnacentral:siRNA from 1 species